CAUAGGCUCCGCUGCUGACCUCUGCAAGCUGGCCAUGAUCCAUGUCUUCACUGCAGUGGCUGCUUCCCACACCUUGACGGCCAGCCCUUGUGGAAUUGAUAAAGGAAGUUGGCAUGUGAGGAGCUGAGGUCUCUCUCUGUUGCUGACUGAGUCCUUCUGAAAGCUGGACACAGACACUUUUACUCAGGAACGCAGUUACUCGCUGGUCAUCCUUCUGUCAUCAGCCAUUGGCUGUCACGAGGAAAUGCUUCUCAUAGCAAAAUGCAAAGCAGACUCGUGUGGAAUAUUGGGCACAUGGUCUGUGUUUUGUGAACGUGAUUUGUUCUUCCAGGAGUAAUGUGAAAGGCUGUGGAUGGCGUCUGGAAGGGACGGGUGCAGGCUCAGUGUGGCCAGGCAUCUCUCGCUGAAGCAGCAGGCAUGAAACUCGAUCACUGGGAGGCACACGGUGCCCCUAGAGUGAGCUGAGAUCGCACCACUUCACUCCAGCCUGGGCGAGAGCGAGAGUCUGUCUAACAAAA
rnacentral:lncRNA from 10 species